ensembl:snRNA U6 U6 spliceosomal RNA
GCUCCCUUCAGCAGCAUAUACCCUAAAACUGGAGGAACAGAGAAGAUGAGCAAGGCCCCUGCGUAAGGAUGACACGCAAAUUCCUAAAGCCUUCCACAGUUUU